rnacentral:lncRNA from 1 species
UUUAGUCUACUUUGGUGGUUCCCAAACUGCUACACAUUGGACUGAUCUGAGGAUCUGUGAAUGUGUAUACUAACGCCUGCUAGGCCCCCAGAAAGUCAUAUUUAAAUGGUUUGUAUGAGAGUGUGAUGUGGGCAUCAGGACUUUCCAAAGCUUUCCAGGUGAUGCUAAGGUGCAAAGUCUGGGAACUGCUGGGCUCGCAGGAGAGCGACGCUGUCAUACAUUGAUUGUGAAGCAGGAGAUGCUGUCCUCAGCGGUGACUCUCGCUGCCUGCGUGGGGACCUAAUGCUGCGGCAGAGCAGCUGCAGAAUCCCUGCCUGCCGAACUCAACCAGGAGGAAGCCUGUGACAGAUGCCUCUGCAUUUUAUGCAAAUAUCAACUUCAUGGAUCAGUUUUCCUUCCCUCUGUGGAAUAUAAGCAUCUGGAAAAUAGAAUUCCAAGAGCCUUUGCACAUUAACAAAUGAACAGAAAUGACCAAACCACACAGUUUCUUUAUCACCUUCAUUAACAUUAGGAUCUGGUGCAAAAGCCAGUUAAUUCACAUAGAAGAAGGUUUGAAGCUUUUGAAGAGGCUUAAAUAA